CCUACGGGUGGCUGCAGUGGGGAAUAUUGGACAAUGGGCGAAAGCCUGAUCCAGCCAUGCCGCGUGUGUGAAGAAGGCCUUCGGGUUGUAAAGCACUUUCAGUGGGGAAGAAAGCCUUGGGGCUAAUACCCUCGAGGAAGGACAUCACCCACAGAAGAAGCACCGGCUAACUCCGUGGCAGCAGCCGCGGUAAUACGGAGGGUGCGAGCGUUAAUCGGAAUUACUGGGCGUAAAGCGCGCGUAGGCGGUCUGAUAAGCCGGUUGUGAAAGCCCCGGGCUCAACCUGGGAACGGCAUCCGGAACUGUCAGGCUAGAGUGCAGGAGAGGAAGGUAGAAUUCCCGGUGUAGCGGUGAAAUGCGUAGAGAUCGGGAGGAAUACCAGUGGCGAAGGCGGCCUUCUGGACUGACACUGACGCUGAGGUGCGAAAGCGUGGGUAGCAAACAGGAUUAGAUACCUUGUAGUC
rnacentral:rRNA from 1 species